rnacentral:rRNA from 1 species
GAUGAACGCUGACAGAAUGCUUAACACAUGCAAGUCUACUUGAUCCUUCGGGUGAAGGUGGCGGACGGGUGAGUAACGCGUAAAGAACUUGCCUUACAGACUGGGACAACAUUUGGAAACGAAUGCUAAUACCGGAUAUUAUGACUGAGUCGCAUGAUUUGGUUAUGAAAGCUAUAUGCGCUGUGAGAGAGCUUUGCGUCCCAUUAGUUAGUUGGCGGGGUAACGGCCCACCAAGGCGACGAUCAGUAGCCGGACUGAGAGGUUGAACGGCCACCAUUGGGACUGAGACACGGCCCAG